rnacentral:rRNA from 1 species
GCCCUUAGAGUUUGAUCCUGGCUCAGAUUGAACGCUGGCGGCAGGCCUAACACAUGCAAGUCGAGCGGAUGAGUGGAGCUUGCUCCAUGAUUCAGCGGCGGACGGGUGAGUAAUGCCUAGGAAUCUGCCUGGUAGUGGGGGACAACGUUUCGAAAGGAACGCUAAUACCGCAUACGUCCUACGGGAGAAAGCAGGGGACCUUCGGGCCUUGCGCUAUCAGAUGAGCCUAGGUCGGAUUAGCUAGUUGGUGAGGUAAUGGCUCACCAAGGCGACGAUCCGUAACUGGUCUGAGAGGAUGAUCAGUCACACUGGAACUGAGACACGGUCCAGACUCCUACGGGAGGCAGCAGUGGGGAAUAUUGGACAAUGGGCGAAAGCCUGAUCCAGCCAUGCCGCGUGUGUGAAGAAGGUCUUCGGAUUGUAAAGCACUUUAAGUUGGGAGGAAGGGCAGUUACCUAAUACGUAAUUGUUUUGACGUUACCGACAGAAUAAGCACCGGCUAACUCUGUGCCAGCAGCCGCGGUAAUACAGAGGGUGCAAGCGUUAAUCGGAAUUACUGGGCGUAAAGCGCGCGUAGGUGGUUCGUUAAGUUGGAUGUGAAAUCCCCGGGCUCAACCUGGGAACUGCAUUCAAAACUGACGAGCUAGAGUAUGGUAGAGGGUGGUGGAAUUUCCUGUGUAGCGGUGAAAUGCGUAGAUAUAGGAAGGAACACCAGUGGCGAAGGCGACCACCUGGACUGAUACUGACACUGAGGUGCGAAAGCGUGGGGAGCAAACAGGAUUAGAUACCCCGGUAGUCCA